rnacentral:rRNA from 1 species
AAUCAACGCUGGCGGCGUGCCUCAGACAUGCAAGUCGAACGCGAAAGUCCCCUUCGGGGGACGAAGUAGAGUGGCGCACGGGUGAGUAACACGUAGGUAAUCUACCUUUGGAUGGGGAAUAACAACCGGAAACGGUUGCUAAUACCGCAUAAUGCAGCGGCACCUAAUGGUGACAGUUGUUAAAGCGGGGGAGUCGAAAGACCUCGCGUCUAAAGAGGAGCCUGCGGCGGAUUAGCUAGUUGGUAAGGAAUGGCUUACCAAGGCUACGAUCCGUAACCGGCCUGAGAGGGCGGUCGGUCACACUGACACUGACAUACGGGUCAGACUCCUACGGGAGGCAGCAGUCGGGAAGUUUUUGGGCAAUGGGCGAAAGCCUGACCCAGCAACGCCGCGUGAAGGAUG